rnacentral:tRNA from 1 species
GGAGCCGUAGUUAAGUUGGUUAUAACGCCGGCCUGUCACGCCGGAGGCCGCCGGUUCGAGUCCGGUCGGCUCCGCCA